rnacentral:lncRNA from 1 species
UCAAAUCCCACCACCACAAGCACCGCCAUAAUUUAACACGGUGCAAUACUACAAUUCCUCUCCUCUCCUCCUCUUUCUCUCUCUCUCUUUCUCUCUAGCUUAAUAGAAUGGGUAAUGGCUGACUCGAAUCAAUAGAGUCUGAAGCUUCAUCAAGAAGAACCCAACUGGAAAAUGAACCCAUUUCAAAUCCCAAAAAAUCCAAGCUCAAAUUAUGGUAGGCUCGAAUCAAUUGAGCUUGAAGCUUCAUCAAGAAGAACCUAAUUGGAAAAUGAACCCACUUCAAAUCCCAAAAUUUCCAAGCUCAAAUUCCAGUCAAUCAUUGCAGCCACUCUCAUAGUUGCCUUUGCAAUUUCUGCUGCACACAAAAUGGGGCUCCAACCAGAGCAAAUUUCAGGUCAAUGCACCGGAGCCAAGCCAUAUCCAUGACCUACAGUCGGACUCGCUAUCCCGCUUUAUGUCAACAGACUCAUGAACUUCCACGUCUUAAAUAGAUUCCAACUCAACCAAUCGGCCAUCUCAAGUGCCGCCACCACGACCUCCGCCAAAUCCAGUAACAAGUCCAUCCCAACCACCAGCAUUGCCAUAUCUACCACCGGCACUACCAUCGGCUGUACCUCCACCACCAGUGGUUUCAUCCCAACACUUCCACUGACUAUGGGAGUUUUUUGGAGUCGAGGGUUUUGAUUCGGGGCUGUGAGGUUUUGAGCGUAUUUAAUACGUGAUUAAA